GUAAAAAGAUUCCAUAUCAAUUGUCAGCAUGGGUGCAUACUUCAAAGCCUGCAUUUAGUAAAGAAAAGCAAGAUGACUUUCAAAUCUAUAAUACCGUCCGUUAGAAAAAGAAUGUACACUUCCUAUAAACAAAACCAGAGAGAAUUGAUGAGAACCUAAACAGACCUGUUGGAAAGGCUCCUCCAAAGAACAUGUUGAAGAGGUCCUCUGGGGUGAUAUCUGCUUCACAUCCCCUGUGGAAGUUAAAUCUACCAUUGC